rnacentral:lncRNA from 1 species
AUUUUUUUCUAAGUGCCUGUUCUUGACCACCUCUGUGCAGGUUUUAGACUACCUUGUUACAGUCUUUAAGAAUGAAAGUCCAGGCUCUUCAAUCACACUUUGCUGAUAUGGAUGAGGGCUGCACCUUUCCUGGCCAUUUGGCUAGAGACGGCUGAUUUUCAUUGCUAUUUUACUGUUUUUGUUUCUGCACAUUGAUGUUUCCAGGUUACCGGCUUCUUCAGUUCUAAGCCUGAGAUAUAUGAGUCAAAAAGAAAACUCAGAAAACUCUCUACCAUGUUGUUCUUCAGGUGUCAGAUUUCCUAUCUGGUAUGCCUUCUUCUUUCUACCUUUCAGCAUCUUUUUAUGUUUGUUUUAUAUAUAAUUCCCAAGAUUUCUCAUUUUGUUUAGUUGAAGGAAUAGAGAAAAGUACAUCUGUUCUAUCUUCCUGGAAGUGAAAAC